rnacentral:rRNA from 1 species
ACGCUCGACACCUAUGGGAGGCAGCAGUUGGGAAUAUUGGACAAUGGAGGAAACUCUGAUCCAGUGACGCCGCGUGAAGGAAGAAGGUCUUCGGAUUGUAAACUUAUUUUGUCAGGGAAGAAAAAAUGACUGUACCUGAAGAAAAAGCACCGGCUAACUACGUGCUAGCAGCCGCGGUAAUCUGAGCGGGCUGGCAAGGC